GCAGACGGACGCCCGCUUCUACACCGACUCCAACGGGCGGCAGAUUGUGGAGCGCAGGCGCAACUACCGUCCCACGUGGAACCUGAGCCAGACAGAGCCGGUCGCGGGGAAUUACUACCCUGUGAACAGCCGCAUCUACAUCAAGGACAAGAAGUUCCAGCUGACGGUGCUGACAGACCGGUCGCAGGGCGGCAGCAGCAUCUUCGAUGGCUCCCUGGAGCUCAUGGUCCAUCGGCGGCUCCUGUAUGAUGACAA